CAGACGGCAUCAUCCACCAAAGCUCUGCCUACGAUGAAGAAAGGUGACAUAAGCAUGAUGCCGCUCUGCCUGAGAUAUGGGUGCCGGUUUGGAAGCCGUUGAGGAUGGAGGCGUAUGUUGGCUACUGGCUCAUAUCACGAGGCAUGACACGUGAAUAGUGACCACUGGUGAGUUGUUCUCUGGGGGAAAUCAUGAUGUAACAUUAAGGCAACUACCCAGGUUCAAACAGGAAGAAGCCGUUGAGGAAGUAUGUUACUACUAGUAACUAGUAACUCAUAUACGGAGCUAAAACUUAAGAAUGGUGAAGUGUUCUCUGGGGAUGUCAUGAUAGAACGGGGUGGAUUAGGCAAAUAACCCAGUUCCGACCUGAGUUCGAUUCCCGGGCAUGCUUUUUCUGCUUGGGAGGUGAUAGCUGUGACUACAGGUAUCUACACAGUUGCGUCCAUCACUCUGAGAUUGACAGAUAGUUGGGGACCCCCUGAUUUUGAGGGGGAAUAAUUGUCAUUCAUGUGCAAGCAAACAAGGGCAACUGCAGUUUUUGGAUUUUGUGUCAAAUUACCUCUUGCUGCAUAUAUUCUGUAUGGAGUCUCCUAUACAGGGUUUGGCGUAUUUAACUUCUGAUGGGCAUGUUUGUCUGUCUACAGGGCCCACCCAGCAACCUGCAGCUGCUGUGGACAACACCACAUGCUUUCCCCACCACACAUCAGCACGCAGAGUCAGUGGAAGGUUAAAGCAGUAGUAAGGUGUGUGGCAUAAAACUGCAUUCUAAGUUCCACAUCACAGUCAUUGCAGUUCUUGAUGGUCUGACAAAGGUGCUACUGUAUGCCCCUGCCUGAUCUUUGCUGCAUACAGGCUCACAAGCUGCUUGUGGAGGACUGCUGCUGCAGCAAUGUCUUGUAGUGUUAACUAACGGCGAUAGAGGACUAAUACUAGGCAUGACUACCAGAAGGUGUUAGGGUGGAUAGUGCAUGUGACCUAUGAUGUAGCAUGUUUUGAGGCAAAUUUUGUUGAGAUGGAUGAGCUGCAGCUGGGUGCACCCAAUAUGAAACUGUUUGGAGCUGUUUCAAAGCUUCUGCUGCAGCAGCUGCUGCAUACAGGCUCACAAGCCGCUUGUGGAGAAGCUACUGCUAGCAGCAGCACUGCUGCACUGUACAGUCACUGUACAGACUUGUCUCGGAGUGUUAACUGACGGUGAUGGAGGACUUCUUCUAGGCAUGAAUACCAGAAAGUGUUAGGGUGGAUAGAGCGCUUCUGAGCUAUAAUGUAGCAUGUUUUGAGGCAAAUUGUUGACAGAUUGAUGAGCUGCAGCUGCAGCAGCCGCUGUUGUGGAAAUGUUUGGUGCUGUUUGGAAGCUGCAGAUUGUUUGGAAGCUGCAGCUGCUUCAGCUGAAGCAGGCAAUGCAUAUGGCUUAAUGUUGUUACAUAGCAGGACUUCGGAAUUUCGUGUGCAUGUAGCUGCUGCUAGGCGAU
rnacentral:lncRNA from 1 species